UGCUCACGAUGUUUGCCGGUUACUAUAC
rnacentral:sRNA from 1 species